rnacentral:rRNA from 1 species
GACGUCUACAUUAGAUACCCGCGUAGUCCCAGCCGUAAACUAUGCGCGUUAGGUGUAUCGGUGACCACGAGUUACCGAGGUGCCGAAGGGAAACCGUGAAACGUGCCGCCUGGGAAGUACGGUCGCAAGGCUGAAACUUAAAGGAAUUGGCGGGGAGCACCACAACAGGUGGAGCCUGCGGUUUAAUUGGACUCAACGCCGGGAAGCUCACCGGAUAGGACAGCAGAAUGAUUGCCGGGCUGAAGACCCUGCAUGACUAGCUG